AGAGUUUGAUCAUGGCUCAGGAUUAACGCUGGCGGCGUGCCUAAUGCAUGCAAGUCGCACGCUCACCCUUCGGGGUGGGAGUGGCGAACGGCUGAGGAACACGUGCGUACCGACCCUGCGGUGGGGAAUACCGGUUGGAAACAGCCAACAAUACCGCAUACGCUUGGUAUCCAAGGAAAGCCUUUGGGUGCCGCAGGACGGGCGCGCGGCCCAUCAGCUUGUUGGUGGGGUAGUGGCCUACCAAGGCGACGACGGGUAGCCGGCCUGAGAGGGUGACCGGCCACACUGGGACUGAGACACGGCCCAGACUCCUACGGGAGGCAGCAGUGGGGAAUAUUGCGCAAUGGGCGGAAGCCUGACGCAGCGACGCCGCGUGGGGGAUGACGGCCUUCGGGUUGUAAACCUCUUUCAGCAGGGACGAAGCGCAGGUGACGGUACCUGCAGAAGAAGCACCGGCCAACUACGUGCCAGCAGCCGCGGUAAUACGUAGGGUGCAAGCGUUGUCCGGAAUUAUUGGGCGUAAAGAGCUCGUAGGCGGUUGGUCGCGUCGGCUGUGAAAACCCGGAGCUCAACUCCGGGCCUGCAGUCGAUACGGGCCGACUUGAGUGUUGCAAGGGAGACUGGAAUUCCUGGUGUAGCGGUGAAAUGCGCAGAUAUCAGGAGGAACACCGGUGGCGAAGGCGGGUCUCUGGGCAACAACUGACGCUGAGGAGCGAAAGCGUGGGGAGCGAACAGGAUUAGAUACCCCCGUAGUCC
rnacentral:rRNA from 1 species